rnacentral:rRNA from 1 species
AGAGUUUUGGAUCAUGGCUCAGAACGAACGCUGGCGGCAUGGUUAAGGCAUGCAAGUCGAACGCGAAAUCCCGGCUUGCCGGGACGGUAGAGUGGCGCAAGGGCGAGUAAUGCAUGGGUAACGUACCCCGGGCACGAGGAUAGCCCCGAGAAAUCGGGGGUAAUACUCGAUGAGACCACGGUGUCGCAAGGCACAGCGGUCAAAGGGCGGGGAUCCCUUCGGGGACCUGUCGGCCCGGGAGCGGCCCAUGUCCUAUCAGCUUGUUGGUGAGGUAACGGCUCACCAAGGCAACGACGGGUAGCGGGACUGAGAGGUUGGCCCGCCGCAUUGGGACUGAGACACUGCCCAGACUCCUACGGGAGGCUGCAGCACCGAAUAUUGUCCAAUGGGCGAAAGCCUGAGACAGCAAUGCCGCGUGCGGGAGGAAGUCCCUCGGGAUGUAAACCGCUGUCAGGGGCUACCAAGCAAUGGGGUCUAACAUACCCCGGCGUUGAGGAGCCCCAGAGGAAGCCACGGCUAACUUCGUGCCAGCAGCCGCGGUAAUACGAAGGUGGCGAGCGUUGUUCGGAAUCACUGGGCUUAAAGAGCACGUAGGCGGACCGUCAAGCGUCUUGUGAAAUCCCUCGGCUCAACCGAGGAACUGCUUGGCGAACUGACGGUCUUGAGGCAGGCAGGGGUGUGUGGAACUCUUGGUGGAGCGGUGGAAUGCGUAGAUAUCAAGAGGAACGCCGGCGGUGAAGACGACGCACUGGGCCUGUCCGAGGCUUCAAUCCCGAUUCGUCGGGAUUGGAGGCCUCUCCUGA